CAAAUAUAUACCAGUUAAUACUAUUACACACAUUACAUGAGUUAUGUUACACAACAUGUGUUUUCGUCUGAAAUUAAGCAAAAAAUUGAAACGUCUCAACUGGAAUAGUUUCUGAAUCAUUAGAUGUGUUGUCAGGCGGUGCUCCUGCCGGCCUUCAUGAUGGGGUGGGUGAACCGGAGUUGCACUUACACCAUCCAAAUACACCUCUCCAGCAUAUUAAAGCAUGCAAUAUCUAGACCCAUAUGUUCAAAAUCUAUGUUCUAAACAAAACCUAGCCUGAAGCCAUUAACAUUAAGAAUAGUCCUGGGUACUCCUGUGUACCACUUGCACAUAAAGCAAGGGAGUCACUAAGAAGAAAAACAAUGAUUUCAUUCAACUGAGUAGAUGCAGGUGAAGAAGAAUUAAGAACUCAUACUUUUUCCAUGAGGUGUAAGGGGAAUAAUAAUAGAUUCGCUUAGGAGAAACAAAUGUCGUUCAAGGGAGUAUAUGAGAUAUGUGAUUGGGUGGAAUAGUUGGGAGCUCAUAUUUGUUUUUGAAGGCAUGUAGGAAAUAGUAAACGCACUGGUCCAAACUCCAGAAGUAAAGUGGGUGGCGCCAUGCAUGGUACAUAUAAUGAUGCCACUAAUUAAAAGGGGCAUCACCAAAAAAUGAAGAAUGGAAUCAGAUAACAAUAAUUCCUACUAAAAUUAUCGGCAAGCUUGCAUGAAAGAGGACAGAGUCUUGUAAGACCUUGUAGCUGUGCUAUUCUGUUUUGAUGAAGUUUCAUUCAAUCAUAACAUUCAGAAACAACAAUUAUACGCUGGUAGAAAAUGAAAACGAAGCAUUAGGGACAACUAAUCCUGGACCAGAGAUAAGUGGACACACACCCGCACACGCACACGCACGCGCGCGCGCACACACACACGCACAAGAUAGACUAAUUUAAAUUCCUGCUCCGGUACUUACAUGAGAAGUAUUUUGGUCCCCCAUUCUACAUUCUCAACUUAGUGCUUCACUAAAAAAAUUAGGAACUUGAAGCGAUCCUUGUAUAUAUAAACACAAUCUAUGAUAUUCUUACAUACAACUUUAUUUUGCUUCACAAUAAAAUUUUAAAGCAGAUAAAAGAAACAUGUACAAGCACUGCCAUAUGGGAUAACUGAUGGUCAUAUUUUUCCUGAAAGGCGCCUGAUGGUUAUAUGAAACAUCUAAAACUUUAGGAACCAGAUAUGAUCUAAGGAAGUGACACACACUGCAUGUACCUAAUAACAAAAGCCAUAGGAAAGAUAACCUUUAUUGAUUGAAAUAUUGCCAGAUCCACUCCUUUCUUUGAAUAGAAAGUUAGCAACAAGCACUGGCGCCAGCACAUCCCCUUUGUCAUAGAUCAAUAGACAGCAAAAAUGGAGCAACAUUAACGUGGGCUAACUCCUAUGACAGUUUGCAUAUUAAGAAACUAAGAUUACAUAUGGCUAGAUAAUGAAAUUCCUUUGCACCAUCGUGUUCUUACUUUGAAAUGUGGUAGCAACAAUUAGAAAGAUUCUAAUACGUUAGUUUUGGCACAACGGAAAAUCCAGUGCAUGUACCUGUAAUCAACACCGGCUACGAUGGUCAGUUCAUCUUCAUUGAGUACUGAUCAAGCGGCACCAUGUUGAGAAAAAUCAACAAAUUUCUGUCCUUAUCUGCUGCAAUUUUUUAGCUAGUAAACAAAGCACCUGAACAGAUUUCUGCAUUCCAAAAAUUAAAAUUAACAGAUCUCAGCAAUCUUGUUGAGCAAGAAAGAGGCCUUGUCCACCUGCUCCGCCUCUGAGCCGUUGACAAGAACAACCUCCCUCUUGAAUUAAUUGCUGAUCUCCUCCACCCCUCGCAUAUGCCACUCCACCACCUUCGUCGCCACCCCCUUCUUAUUCACCUGCUUCAUCUCAAUCGAUGGUGACGGGCCCAUGGGGCAACGUCCAGGUCCAGGUCCAGUUGCACCGCCCUAUCGCUGCCCCGGCUACUGCUGGUUGGCAUGUCGAUGUAGAUACACUACAUUGAUUAGUACAUAUGUCAUAUUAAUCAAUGAAUGUUGAUCUAUUUGUAAAUCAUAUAUAUGCACUAAAAAACGACAGUUCAGUAGAAAGGCUUAUAAGAUCAUGAUCGACAGUUGUUCUCGAACACAUGAAUUACUUCUUAAGUAAAAUAAACAGUCAUCCAUAAAUCUGCAUUUAGAAUUUAACCAUGAACAAUAAACUUGUAUACUUGUGUGUACUGUACCAUAGAAAAGAACUACUGUACUGUAGAAAGCGGGAAAUGGAUACAUGUAGAACACAUAACGUGUUGAAAGCGGGAAAUGCUACUGCUUGUAGCAAAACCAAUGACACUACCGAUGGAUGACAGGUUAACAUAGAAAGCACAUGUGCACAAUGCCCUUGCCUCCGGCACAGGGCACCGGCCAUCUUCUUCAGCUUGUGAACACUCAUAUAUUACAAUAGUCAUCCAAUUUCCUAUAUGAACCAACAAAUUAUUUUUGCCUCCAUAAUGGAACUUUCUGAAGCGUCUAAUGUUUCUCUUCCUCUUAAUCAUCAGUUCUAUAAAAAGCUCAUCCAUCAAUCUACAGAAAACAGGGGGAAAGGACAAUUGCAUGAUCAGAUCCAUAAUGAAACUUGUUGACCUGCGCCUAAUGUUUCUCUCCCUCUUAAUCUUCAGUUCUAUACAAAGUGCAUCCAUCAAUAUACACAAAACAUGAAGAAAAAAAGGACAAUUGCAUGAUCAGAUAAGAACGCAGUUACAUGUGACCAGCAUAGAUCAUUUGUUCUAAUGGCCUGAAAACAGUAACAGAUAAAGUACAGGUCGACCAAAAUGUGAAAUCUAUCAAAAGAGCAAAUGAGAUUAUACAGUACACUAAAACACUACGUACCAACUCAAAUUUAUCAGUGUUCAUGCACAUAGAGCAAAUUGUUGCCCACUAUAGAGAAUGAAAAGAAAGAUGUACACUAAGACAUUAAAGAGUUAAACAGAAAUAAUAUACUGUCAAAAUGAUCCUGCAAAGUCAGUACACAAAGUUUAGAAUUAAUCACAUAGAUACUGUAUUAGUAUUGAUAUUAAAUUGCAUUACAACUAACUCGUCAAGUACAGAAACAUGAAAUAAUGUCCUGCUGAUAGGUUCUGUGAUUGACCCAAUGACUAAUUGUGGUUCUAGUUCAGAGGUAGAUCAAGGCACAUCCCAUCAGCAGUUGGGAGAUGAACUGCAUGGAGGCCAUGGAGAAUGGAUCAAAUCUAUGGGCGUGGACAUGGAGAUUUGGAGAUGGUGGUUCGUGUAAAAAAACAGGAAUAUACCUCAAGGCGUGGACGGCUGGACGCCGAAGACCUUGG
rnacentral:lncRNA from 1 species